UACGUAGGGUCCGAGCGUUGUCCGGAAUUACUGGGCGUAAAGAGCUCGUAGGUGGUUUGUCGCGUUGUUCGUGAAAACUCACAGCUCAACUGUGGGCGUGCGGGCGAUACGGGCAGACUGGAGUACUGCAGGGGAGACUGGAAUUCCUGGUGUAGCGGUGGAAUGCGCAGAUAUCAGGAGGAACACCGGUGGCGAAGGCGCCACUCUGGGCCGAAACUGACGCUGAGGAGCGAAAGCGUGGGUAGCAAACAGG
rnacentral:rRNA from 1 species